GAUGAACGCUAGCGGGAGGCUUAACACAUGCAAGUCGAGGGGCAGCAUAGGGUAGCAAUACUCUGAUGGCGACCGGCAAACGGGUGAGUAACGCGUAUGCAACCUACCCUGUACAGGGGGAUAACCCGGAGAAAUUCGGACUAAUAUCCCGUAAUAAUAUCCGGAGGCAUCUUUGGAUAUUUAAAGUUUCGACGGUACGGGAUGGGCAUGCGUAACAUUAGCUGGUUGGUAAGGUAACGGCUUACCAAGGCUAUGAUGUUUAGGGGUCCUGAGAGGGUGGUCCCCCACACUGGUACUGAGACACGGACCAGACUCCUACGGGAGGCAGCAGUGAGGAAUAUUGGUCAAUGGGCGCAAGCCUGAACCAGCCAUCCCGCGUGCAGGAAGACGGCCCUAUGGGUUGUAAACUGCUUUUCCAGGGAGAGAACUUACGCACGUGUUGCGUGACUGACGGUACCCUGGGAAUAAGCAUCGGCUAACUCCGUGCCAGCAGCCCGCGGUAAUAGUGU
rnacentral:rRNA from 1 species